rnacentral:rRNA from 1 species
CACGGGGGAGCAAGCGUUGUCCGGAUUUAUUGGGCGUAAAGAGCUCGUAGGCGGCUUGUUGCGUCGACUGUGAAAACCCGCGGCUUAACCCGCGGGCCUGCAGUUGAUACGGGCAGGCUAGAGUUCGGUAGGGGGAGACUGGAAUUCCUGGUGUAGCGGUGAAAAUGCGCAGAUAUCAUGAGGAAGACCAGUGGCGAAGGCGGGUCUCUGGACAGUUCCUGACACUGAGACACGAAGGCCGGGGAGCAAACGGG